UUUCCGUGGGUGAACCUGCGGAAGGAUCAUUCAUAAUAAGUGUUUUAUGGCACUUUUUUAAAUCCAUAUCCACCUUGUGUGCAAUGUCAGGGUUGAUUUUUCUCUCGAGAGGAUCAACCCCAAACAUCAACUAUAUCUCAACUCUUUGUCUGAAAAAUAUUAUGAAUAAAACAAUUCAAAAUACAACUUUCAACAACGGAUCUCUUGGCUCUC
rnacentral:misc_RNA from 1 species